rnacentral:lncRNA from 1 species
CCAUGAGAAGCCUCUUUUUGAGUUGUUGGUCAAGUUGUCCACAAGUCUCUCAAAAUGUUACAGGCUAUUGCUAUUUCCCUUGUCUGCUCCCCGGAGGUGAAAGGUUGGCCAGGAACUUGUUCUCCAUUUCCAGAAGCUUCCCAAGUUCUCAUACCCCCGGAUCUCCAAAGUCAACAGAGGGGUUUCUACAAGUAAUUUCCAGAAUGUGAAUACAUGAUGCCUGUCAGUUUCAAGGUUCUAAGUUCUCAUACUGAAGGUCUGGAUGCUAGCCAACAGUGUUAUUUCUAAUGUGGCUUCUUUUUGGAUAUGGUAACCAUAUGCACAGGCCAACACUAGAUCAAGAGAAAGGCCCCAGACCAAAGAAAGCACAAUCCAAAUGGAUCAAGAACAGCAAAAUGAGAGAAUAGAUGUGUUCUCAAAGGCCAUAUUGCUAUCUGUGCAUUGUGCAUUGUGGAGCUACUCUGAAAUAAAC